rnacentral:lncRNA from 10 species
GGGCCGGGGCCCGGCUGCAGGCGCCGUGCCCGCUCCGCGCCGCUGCCGCCCGCGCCCCCCGUCGCGGCCGCCGAGCGUCCCUCCCGCAGGCUGUGGCGGGCGGCGGGACGGGUUGCAUCAGCCCCGGCUAUAUAGCGGCCCCUGGGCGGCGGGGAGGGGUCGGGAAUGCGGAACCGGCCGAGCUGCCAGCUCCAGACGUCAGAGGGGGACGGAGAGGAAGGGAAGGAGGGGACCGGGGAGGAGGGGGUGUGGAGCCGGCGCUUCACACCCACUGACCUUAACCUCCCCCGCCGCCUUGGGCGCCCUCCUCCCGCGGCCGCUCGCGCUCCUCUCCCCGCGGGGGCGUCCCGGGUUCCAUGCAGUCCCCCGGCUCCGCCACCCCACGGUGCAGGAGCGCUCGAGAAAGCAGGACGCGGCGAGCGGUUAUGUAAGCGCACCCCCCGCGCACCGCCGCCCGGCUUGUGCCCGCCAGGCAGCAGCAGCCGCAGCCCUAGGAGAGAGACGCGAGAGGCCGGAGCCGGGGGAAAAGUCAAAAGCCCCUUCACGCACAGCCUGUGUUAACCAUGUACCUCAGUCCCGGCGCUUCCCCCACAAACUGAGAGCGACAGGGAGAAUUUCCGCACAGUUUCAUCCUUGGACACUUCAGGACUGAGCGGGUGAGGAGGCGAUCUCGCCAGCCUGCUUUAUUUUUCGGUGGAGAAGGAUGGGCUGAGAUGAAGGCAUUUGGGGACUCCUACCCCUACCCACCGGCCCCCGCCAGCGCCCUUAGGCCCCGAGACGGCUGGCUGCACCAGCCUGACCUCUGCUAGGGCUGCAGCCUGAGACCGCGGCUUGCUCUACUGCUGGCGCAGUUUGACCCUUGGGCUUGUACCCUGCUCCAGCGGGCUUCUCCUUUCCACUCCGGACACAGCAGUGAGCAGACCCAGCCCUCAGCAGACCCCAAGUGGCCUUCUUCCCCGUUCCAGCUUCAAUAGCCAACCCCACUCCCACCUUCCAUCCUUCUAGAGAGGAAAUGGUGAAGGGGACUCCAGAGGGAAGGCGACAUCCAUGGUGCCCUCCAGUAUACAAAGGCAGAGACACAGAGCCCUCAGGUAGAACGGGGUUCCCUAGAUGGCAUCUCCUACCUCCAGAGCUCCUGGGUACCCAUCGAGCCCCCUACCUUCUGCCUAAGCCAGAUAGGAGUGACGAUUUUUAUACUCAGCGACUUUCGGCCUCCUUCUGAGAGUGAUGUCAGGUCAUCACCCAUAGAAGAAAGGAAGUGAAAGAAAAAGUUCAUGCCUUCUUGGAGUGCAGAUGCUCAGAGUGAAAGAAACAACAAGACUUGAGACAGAUGGGUGCCAUUGAGCAAACCCGAACAUGCAUGUCUCUCUCAUGUGAGUGAGUGCAUGAGACUUUAUUCUCCUUAUUUCCCCAGUGCAGUGAAAUCUUUCUGGAUAAAAGAAGUGGGCUAAUGGAAGGAGAGACAGACCAAGUCCCAAUGACAUUGCCUGACCAUUUUCACCUUCGCCAUCAGCAGUCUCCCUCACAGCAUUGGUGUGGGCAGGUAAGAAGAAAGCAAGGCCCUGAAAGAAUAUACAUUGGAAAAUGAGCAGUAAUUUGAUACUCUUGUGGAAGAGCAUGACUCUUCGCCCCAGAAAGGCCAAUGACACCUUUACUACAGCGUAAAGAUCAAAGCCAGGGACUGUGAAACUGCCUCAUGAUGUUUCUCCCAUGAGACCUGUGUCUGGAUGUUUAUAUGGAACAAAACAUGGAACAGAGGCAAUAGUACUUGAUGUGUCUUCAGCUGGGGCUUUGGAUAAACUAAACUGAUCUAUAUUCAGGGACUAAUAAUUAGGGUGUGUGGUUAGAGCGCGUCCUCUCUAGGGCCUGUUUUGGACUGUGGCUGGGCCACCAGCAGUCCUACUGGGCCUUUGCUUCCCCCACAAAUUAAAUAUGUUACAGGGGUGGCACCAAGGGGUGACUUGGGAGGCCUUUAGUCCCCUCUACCUCUCUAUAAUCUCCAUUAGAUCUUCUCUGUUAUUUGCUAUUGAUGCUUUUCAGUUUCAUAUAGGACGCUAUAAGAACACAGCUUCAAGGCCUCCCUUCCGCCACAUACUCCCUACUAGGCCCCUCUACGUAGUCACUGCCUCUGGGAGUGGCUAGAGGGAGAAGCCAUAAACUGGGUCCUUUAUGCAGACAUUGGAUGCUGGAUGGAGCUGAUUUACCACUGGCUCUUAGGGACAGACAAGUGACUCAGCCUAAGGCAGUUUGAAUUUAAGUUUCCUAUCACAACUAGAAAAGUCCUGAUUAACACGCCCAGCCCUAGUCAAUGGGCUGAUUGAGAGAUCGUCACAUAUCCCAAGAAAAUCUCACAAGACUGGGAAUUUUGUGGAUCUGCUGGAAAGAGAAGCUGCCAGAAGCCCCACGUGAAAGGGAACUACUGAGAGUGAAGCUAAUGGGAGGAAAAGUAGAGCCAAGCCACGGAGGGAAAGACAGAUCAAGUUCCAAUGACAUUGCCUGAGUUCCUGAAUUCAGUCAUGCCUGACAUCAUCCUGACCUCUGCAGGUUUUAGCUAUAGGAAUCAGUAAAUUAUGUCUUACCCAAGGCAGUUUGAAUUUGGGUUUCCUAUUACUUGCAAUUAGAAAAGUCCUAAUUAAUACAGUGGGUUUUGCAUCUCUGACUUAUGUGGACUAUUUCAUUUUGAAGUUUAAUGGAGAUUGAUGAAUCCCGAGCUCUUUGUAAAGAGGGGAAAACUGAAAUGGUGAGGUAAAAUAAUGAAUUCCCCAGACCUGCUCCUCCAAAAUCAAAGGAGAAAGUGAUAGUUCUGAGUAAUCAGCCAAUCAAUUAGUCUUUAUCCUAGUAUAUACUGAAAACCUAUUGUGCACCUUUAAGGUACACAAAGUUUAAGACAUGAUUUCUCACCUGUUCUAUGUCCCAUCUAAUUAGGAAAAAUGAUUUACAAACUAAUGAAUAGCAAGACAAAGAGUAGCUAAGAGCUAAUGAUGCGACACAGGCUAUAAGCACUGUAGGAGUUCAGACAGGAUUGCUGCUCCAGUCUCUACUCAAAUUGUAUAGACCAAAAUUGCAAACGCGUAGCUGGCAGGCUGAAAAUCUGGCUUUUCUGGCUUCAACCUUAAAUUUGUUUUUCUAAAAAAGACAGGCAUGGUGGUGCUCACCUGUAGUCCCAGCUACUCAGGAGACUGAAGCAGAAGGAUCAUUUGAGCCCAGGAGUUCAAGUCUGGCCUAGGCAACAUAGCAAGACCCCCAUCUCAAAAAAAUAAUUGUAGAAAAAAAUAUUUUUUUAAUAUAGCAAAGAUUUCAUAUAAAAAAAUCUAGAUUUCAAACUUCUCUUUUAAAAAUAUCAAAGUCAGGCAACAUUGGGCAUAUGUAAUAGUCAGGAUAAGCUAGGUUUUGCUGCAGUAACAAAUAUCCCCCCAAACUCAUUGGCUUAACAAAAGAAAGGCUACUUCCCACUCACACAAGACAACUGUGGAUUGAGGUGAUUCUCCAGGGCAGCUGUCUUAUAGAUGAUGCCUCAGUAUUUAUACCUUCAUAUCAACAAGUGCAUUUACAGCCACCAUGGCAGAGAAAAAGAAGUAGAGAGGGCCGAACACUAGCAGUGAAAUCUUUCCUCCUGAAGUGACAUACAUCACUUUAGCUUACGUUUCAUUGGCCAAAGCAAGUCACAUGGCCAUCCUUAAUUUCAAAGAUGCAAGGAAUCUCAGUCCUCCCAUGGACCAUGGAGGAGAAAGGAACCAGAAAAUAGCAAACAAUUAAUAUCUGCCACGGCACGCGCUUCCUUAUGGCAACAAUAGGCUGGAGCCCAUUAGAAGCUGCCCCUUGAAAUGGGACUUAAACACCCAGUUUGACAGUCUCCACCCAGCCUGCCUAGCCCUUGGGGGCAUUUGAUUUUGCAAGUCCUGGUAAAGAUAAAGCCAAUCUCAAUAUCAGUCUUUCAGAUGUCCCUGGUGAUCCGUGGAGUUAUCACACAGUUUUCAAAAACAAAUGUUUUGCUCUGCUUGAGACAAAAACUUAUGACAUGCAGAAUUCUUACAAUGAAAAGCAGGAUGGUAUCAUGAAAUCAAACAUGAAGUUGAAACUAGCUGUUAUUGUAGUCUGCAAAUUACAUAAACCUGUUUAUGGUGAUUUCUUCCUGUUGCUCUUCCCUCCAUCAAUCAAACACCCACCAGGAGAAACAAGCCUCCCAAGCUCUUCCCUGGAGUGGUAGUGACUUGGGAAGGGGGGCGGGGGGAUGUCUAAUUUAACAUUUUGAAGCAUUUAUAUAUAUAUAUGAAUAUACAUAUAUAUAGAUGUGUGUGUCUAUAUAAAUAUUCAAGGCUAAAAUAUUUGAGAAGAAAACUUGUGAGCUAGGAAUGGGAAGGCUUCUCUUCCAAUGACCACCAAUGAGAAUGUUAUAAAAUAUGUCUAAAGGUUUAAGAAUAAAUCAGCAUCCAUACAAAUGCAGCCAUCUCUUGGAAAAGCCUAGUGUCUUCUCUUUAAUCUCCUAACACAAUAAAGUUUUUGGAGGA